rnacentral:rRNA from 1 species
CCUACGGGAGGCAGCAGUGGGGAAUAUUGGGCAAUGGGCGCAAGCCUGACCCAGCAACGCCGCGUGAAGGAAGAAGGCUUUCGGGUUGUAAACUUCUUUUCUCAGGGACGAAGAAAGUGACGGUACCUGAGGAAUAAGCCACGGCUAACUACGUGCCAGCAGCCGCGGUAAUACGUAGGUGGCAAGCGUUAUCCGGAUUUACUGGGUGUAAAGGGCGUGUAGGCGGGGAAGCAAGUCAGAUGUGAAAACCACGGGCUCAACCUGUGGCCUGCAUUUGAAACUGUUUUUCUUGAGUACUGGAGAGGCAGACGGAAUUCCUAGUGUAGCGGUGAAAUGCGUAGAUAUAUGGAGGAACACCGGUGGCGAAAGCGGCUCUCUGGCCUGUAACUGACACUGAGGCUCGAAAGCGUGGGGAGCAAACAGGAUUAGAUACCCUAGUAGUC